GGAUUAGAUACCCUGGUAGUCCACGCCGUAAACGUUGAUUACUCGCUGUUGGCAAUACACUGUCAGCGGCUAAGCGAAAGCGUUAAGUAAUCCACCUGGGAAGUACGACCGCAAGGUUGAAACUCAAAGGAAUUGACGGGGGCCCGCACAAGCGGAGGAGCAUGUGGUUUAAUUCGAUGAUACGCGAGGAACCUUACCUGGGCUUAAAUGUUGUUUGACAAUUGCCGAAAGGUGAUCUUCCUUCGGGACAAAUAGCAAGGUGCUGCAUGGCUGUCGUCAGCUCGUGCCG
rnacentral:rRNA from 1 species